rnacentral:rRNA from 1 species
AUUGAACGCUGGCGGCAUGCCUAACACAUGCAAGUCGAACGGCAGCAUGGUACGAUUUCGGUUGUACUGAUGGCGAGUGGCGAACGGGUGAGUAACACGUGGAGAUAUACCUUGAAGAGGGGGAUAACUUAGGGAAACUUAAGCUAAUACCGCAUAAGCUCUAAGGAGGAAAGCUGGGGACCUUAUGGCCUGGCGCUUUGAGAUUAGUCCACGUCUGAUUGCUAGUUGGUGGGGUAAGGGCUUACCAAGGCGACGAUCAGUAGCUGGUCUGAGAGGAUGGACAGCCACACUGGGACUGAGACACGGCCCAGACUCCUACGGGAGGCAGCAGUGGGGAAUAUUGGACAAUGGGGGCAACCCUGAUCCAGCAAUGCCGCGUGUGUGAAGAAGGCCUGAGGGUUGUAAAGCACUAUCGGUGGGGAGGAGGGAUAGUUGGUUAAGAGCUGAUUAUCUGGACGUUACCCAUGGAAGAAGCACCGGCUAACUCCGUGCCAGCAGCCGCAGUAA